UGAGCCCUCGGAUAAGGGCAAAGGUAUUGCACCCGAGGAUCAAGAAUAGGAGUGUUGUAAAUUCCCGUCAAAGUGAGUAACCACUGUUCAUCUUAUCUAUCUAGAGUAUUUUUACAAUCGUUUUUAUGAUUUUAAGAAUAUUGAACCUAAAUGAAUUUUAUGUUUUAUGACUAAUAAUCGAUUUAAGGAAUAAGGUUUAUGACUUAUUUUACAAUUCAAUAAUGUUUCUGAAAAUGUGAGUAUGUGGAGACCAACCUUUGAUGUUGCUUAUAUAUUUAAGUUUACGUACCUAUGUUUGGAAUUGAUGAUUUAUGAACUGAUACGUGAUGACAUAUGUGGCUGGGUUUUUGGGUUGUGAAAUAUAUAAACUGUUUGUUUUCCUUUGACAGGCUGGGUAGUAUUAUGUUAGCCACGUUAUGCUGUCAAAAUUUUAUUGAUUGGUGGGUUAUUGAAUUAGUCACUGCACUAGGCGAGUUUCCGUGGACCAGCCUAUUAGAGGGGCACGGUAAACCCCGUUAUAUUUACCUUAGUAGGAGAGGCGCGAAGGAUAUCUCCUAAGGUACGAUAGAGUUCACUUCACGCCGAACCACCACUUGAGGAUGAACUCUGCCAACGCCAAGGGAUGGCUAAACUAUGUUUUUAUGAGUAGUUGUUAACUUAAUAACCUUGGCGGACUCGGUUGAAUGCCUCAGCCAAGGUAUCACCGAGUAUGAUUUUUGGCAUGAGCUAAGUUUUUAAGAAAAUCAUAAGUCGUGAUGUGUAUUAUAAUGAAAUGUGUUGUUUUAUAUGAUUUGAAACAAGUACAAAAUGUUGUGGAUUAUGGUAUGAUGAAAAGUUAACUGUCUCCAUUUACUCGGCUUUAGAUGUUAAUGACGGACUUUGUUUACUCACUGAGUUUAUGAAAACUCACCCUUUCUUUUUUAACCAUUUCAGGUUCAAGAUAAUCUGUAGGCAGUCGAUUUCAUCAAGGAUUUCUUUUGGACUUACUUCCUUGAAAAUCGUAGGUCUACAUUCUUGCACACUUUUGGUUAUCUCGGGGUCCAUAUGCCACUGUAGGAUAAUUUUGAAUACCUGGUUUACUGUAUUACUAUGUGUAUGAAUUUAUUUUGUUCUCAC
rnacentral:lncRNA from 1 species